UCCCAUGCACGCAUUUGCAUGAGGUUUGGUUCUCAUGGGCUUUAAACAAAUACAGGGAGGGAGAAGCCCUUUUCAUGCCAAGCACAGGCAGCAGCACAGCACCCACUAAGGAAGGAAACAUAAUAUAGAAUUUGCUGUCUGUGGGUUUAACAGCUGUUCUGGGAAAUGGCUGUGAUUUUACAAGCCAGCUCUGCUACACCAGACAAAACUGCCCUUGGUGGUCUCUGCUUUGUGUGGCAUUUUACAGCUAUUGAAUUUUCUUGGUUACUUUUAGCAUGCUAUGCCAGUGAAACUCAGAUGAGGUGCUGCAAGGCAGUAUAGGGUGCACAAUCUUUGGCAGUGUUCAAGGCCAGACUGGAUUGAGAUUUGGUUAAUCUAAUCUAGUGGGAGGUGUUCCUGUUCACAGGAAGAGAGUUAAAGAUGGAUAGUCUGUAAGGACCCUUAUAGGUCUCUGUUCUAAGAUUCUGUAGGUAUCGAGCUGGGAAGAAAGGACAAGGUGAUAGGAUACUAUAGGAUACUUGUUACCAAAAGGAGAGUACCGCAAAAGUGGCCAACGGGGGUAUGAUCCUGUAGGAACUGCAGAUUCUUGAAUUGUCUUCUCUGCUACCUGAGAUGAACUAGAGUCUGUCGAGAAAACAGAUGGCUAAUCACUUUGCAGUUUUAAUGCUACCCUAGGUAAAAAUAUUUGGCAAUUACCUAUCAUUGCUCAAAAUGCAAAGAUUUAUGAAAUGUUAUUAAAGGAACUGAAUGACAGAGAGCCAAAAUGGCUUGAUAUUGCUAAUGAGGGAGAAAGAAAGCAUAUCAAGGAUGCAUUAGCAUUUCUAUGCCUGCUCUUACAUUCUGGAGUUCGUAACAGCCAUAAAACAUUUUAUUGUUGUACUUAGGAAGGAAUAUAGCUGUAAAUAUAGCUCAAUUUCAUAAUUUCUCCAAAGUAUAUGUAAGAAUUAUCACUGUUCUAAACAAUCUUUCACUCUAGACAACUGUAUUCCACAAAUGUUGUUUCCAAUUUCAGUCUUCAGUUGUAAAUGAAGUGGUAGGAAACACCCCCAAGAAAGCACUAGUGUUGUAUCUCUGUGAAUUACAAAGUGUUUUCAGGAUCCUGCUUAGGGUCCUGUUUGGGAUCCUGCUGACUGACUCAAAAACAAAAGAUGGCAGGAAACACAAGAAGAACAGUUUUUAAUUUAGACAAGGUAACUUCUGAAAAGAUAAUCUAGUAUUUUUCAUCUCUACAUUCUUUAUCUUUCCAUUAAGUUUUGUCUAGCUUUUUUUUUUUAUUUUUUAUUUUUUUUUCCAGAAACAAAACAGGACUUUGAACUAGUCUGCCUCAGAGAAAAAGAGCAUACACUGAGAGUGAAAUACUAUUUUCUAAAACACGUCAGUGGAAGAAGAAAGUGAAAAGUGGAAAGUGGGAAAGAGACAGUGCUUUUAAAAAAAAUCAACAAAAAAAAGUGGAAUGAGAGAAAGGAAAAAAUAAAGAGGGGAGUAGAGUGAAAGAUGUGAUAGGUAAAAGAAUGUAGAGAUAAAAAGGAGACUAUUAUGGAGGUCAAAAAGGUAAUAGCAAAGAGAAAAAAAUGGAAAAAUAAUUGUGGGCAGAAGUGGAAGAGAAAAUAAAAUGAUUAAAAAGCAAAAAUAGGAGAUGGAAAGAUGGAAAGUAAUCUAAAGACAGGAAACAGGAAAAUGUAGGAAAGAAACAAGAGGCACUGUUAUUUAAUUAAUGCAUGUUGUUACCUUAUUUUGGAGAUAAGUAAACACAGAGCAGUCAUGCCAGUUACAGCUACAGGAUUGGAAAAUAGAGGCAAAGUCAUACUUUCCUCUGAUUUAUAACAUUCUUCUAGGCUUUUUAGCUUUUUCUUCUGUAAGAGAUGAACAUAUUGAGGACUAAGAGGAAACAUUUAAAACACCAAAUGUGUUUCUGAAAGUGAAAUGGAGAAAUUAGAGUCAAUCCCUACUGAGAAAGCCCACAUCAACCACAACAGGCACAGUGUGUGUACUGAUAUCUCCAAAUCAUUCUGUGUUUCUGAACUCAUUUUCCAGCACUUGUAGAGUUUACCCUUGUUAUGGUAUGUCUUUUGUUAUUUGUUACGCUUGUUAUCAUAUAUAUUUUACAGAAUAGAUGGCCAGAUGUCAUUGUCAGGUGUUAUGCUGCUUUGUAUGGCUACAGGAGGUUGUAAGCAAUCCUAAUACUUGACACUGUGGCCUUGUGGGGAGUCUCAUCUCUGCAGUAAUACUGUGGGUGAAUCUAAGCCAGACAGUGGUCUACCAGAUGCAGGCAAUCACCACAAAACAGACUCUUUUCAUUUUUAAGCCCAUGUUUUUCAUGGAAGAGGUCUAGUGUUAGUGUGGUCACUGCUUCACAAUUUUUUUUUGUAAGCAGUUUUAAUGAGUACCAUUUUAAAACAUGAAUUGCAAGCUCUUCAGUGAAUGUGAGUGGGUGAGCAGUGCUUUGUGCUGAAAUGAAUUAUAAUUUGUCUCUUGACUUGGAGUGAUGAGGAGAGGUGGUGGGUCUGUCACUGGUGGUUUUCACUGGUGCAGAUGGGGCAGACAGUCUUCCGCUGAGCCAUGGGGUCACUCAUGCAGCUAAGCUGUGGACCUCUUUUGCUAAGCAUUAGUUAAUCUUGACUUACAAGUGGCAAUAGCAAGAAGUUUUUAUAGGUCAAAAUUGAAAGAUCUGUUGAUUUAGAAAGCAUUUGCCAAUUCUGUCCUUUUCUUUCUCAAAGAAGGCUUAUUAGAUUUGAGUUCAUGAGUGCAGUUCCAGGCACUGGCAGUCAGUGGAAGCAUCAACACCAGAACCACAAAACUGGGCCUUAUAUGGCUGGAUGAAGUCUCCUGAUCUGCAGAGGGGAAAUCCAUAGCAGAUGAAAACCUUUUUUUCUUUGGGCCAAGAGGAAGUCUCCAUCCACAGCAUUUGGAAUAUUUCUAAUGUGUGACCCAAGCAUAACAAAGUGAUCUUAGGGUCAAAAUAACUGCUUUGUUUUUGCCAUAUGUAUCUUGGAGCUGGAUUUUUCUAUGAACUCUGCAGAAUUUUGUUACCAUAUUCAACGCCCAGCUUUCAGUAAAUCCAUACCUGAAGGAUGCCAUACAGAAUGAAGUGCAGAGGUGAACUGUAGGCUUCCAGCAAGUUACCACUGCCAAGGAGGGUGCAAAGACAAGCAGCUUGCUUCUGGCCCACUGAGCUUGAUUGAGCUGCAUUUUUGGAGUGAGUUUCUUCUAAGAUACCUGCAACUUGCUCCUCUUGCUUGAGCAUCCUAGAAAUGUUGGGGACUUCUUGACUUUAGGAGAUUUACAACUGAGCACUCAGAGCAUCUGAUUCUGAUUUUCCCCACUGACGAGACCCCCGAUACUGAACUUAUUCUUGUGCAAAAGGUGCAAUAAGGACACCUUUCUUCGCUGAAGGAAGCUGAAGUGAGUGUUGAUGGAAAUACUGCUGAUAAAAAUGUGUAUUGAAAAUAGACAAGCGGAUGUUAAGUACAAAAAAGAAGAUACUUGGAUUUGAUGGCUGAGCAUGAAUGGCUGCAUACAGAUACAAAAGACAAGACAGAUAAGAGAAAACAAGAAGAAAAAACACUGUGAAAAAAUAACAACUUACAGUACACAAAGCAUCCUCUGCUUUCUUGAAGACAAUGUACCAUAUCAUGGUGGGGAUGAAAAAAAAAAAAAAGCAGAUUUCUUUGGACAGCAAUCAUCCAUCAGCUUCUGAGAAAGAACAGUCCAACUAGACAAGAGAACAAAGAAAAGUGGUCCCUGGGAUAAGUGCUUUUGCGACGUGAGACCUAGAUGUAUGCCUGAUGCUGAAACUGCCAGUCAGCAGCCUUGUGCAUUUCAGAAGAAGGUUGAGUGAACAUCCGUGAAAUAAUCAAUAAAUUCUGCACUUUGCUGCAUGAUAUCAGUCAUGGGUUACAGAUGUAUAUUGACUAUGUAUAUACAACUCCAUUACAUACAUGUGUCUAGAUGUUCUAAAAGCAUGCAGCUGUUGGGCUGUUACAAAGCACAUACUUUGUAACAUUUUGUUGUGGCACUGAAAAUAAUUUGAUAUCCUGAAAGUCCCAAACGUUGCCAAAACACUGAUAUAUUAUCAAUUCUCUUUUCUUUCUUUCCCCAAGGAAAUAUGCUAUCCUACUCUCACUACUGUAAGGGAAACUUAAUAGGAGGGGAGAAAUGAAAAGCUUUUCAGGCACACAAUACACUUAAAAGUUCCUAUUCAAAAUGCAUGUAGAGCACAGUGCUUUUUCCCUGAAGUCUACCUUCUCAUUCAUGAGGAAGUUUUACUUCUCUCCUGGCUCCACAACUCUGGCAAGUCUCGCUGUUCAGCCUUUACUAUUACCCUUUUGCAAUGUCUACCAACCAAGUUUGAGGAAGGAUUUUUUCCUGAGGGUUCAGAGGUUUAAAGCAGGUUUGUUUCAGUCUCACAUCAAACCCAUUCAGGAGACAUUCAGAAGCACAGGGAGCAAAGUCAGUAACUGAAGACUUUUCUUUUUGACUGAUGUUUUAAAGUAAGAGAACGUUUACCUUACGUUUUGAGUGAAACUGAUGUUAAUCAUAACAGGUCUGUUCGUGUAGGGUACAGUGAUGUUCCUAGAUUAGAAGCAAAAUUUCUUUGUGAGGGGGCUAACAAUACUGCAGGGGGCCAUCUUGCUUCACUGAACUGGAACAUCCAGUCUUUUAAGAGCACACAUACAUUAGGUUGUAAGAUUACUCUCACUAUAGCAACCUUCUCCAAUACAAUCGUUUCUUUUUCUCUGUUUUUUUCCCCUUCUUUUAAAAGAAGCAGCUUUAUAACUUAGCUUUCCACUAACCAUUAUCUUCCCUGGCAUUUUCUAACCUUUCUCUUCCUAACCUCUUCGUCCACUGUCCCAGACAGUUUCCAUUCAGUUUUACACAGUGUUAAAAUUCUGCACUUCAAAUUGUUCAUUAAGGUUUGUUUUGUUUUGUUUUCUCCAGAACUGAGCAAGAACAAGAAACUGGAGCUCUCCUACAGUAUAAGUAAAAUCCUAAAUCAGAAAAUUUGUGGCUUCUCUUUAUCACUCUGAUCCAAUUCCUCUAAAAACUGGGCUUUAUAUUUGUAAUCCUCUCGUGAAGCAGUGGGACUGUUCUGAAUGAAAAGUACAUGUUCUAUGAAAUGUUUUCAAUCUCAUAUGCUUGGUGAAACUUCUGUGCUAAAAAAAAGGCAGCUAGCUGGCAAAUAAAACCCUGUUCAAGAAAGAAUGUCAAAAGAACAGGCUAGACAUGUUGAGAGCAGUGUUUGUUUAAACUGACAUAUAUGCUGCGUGCCUAACUGAAGAACUGAAAGCAAAAAUCUAGCUUACGAGACACACUUAAGAAGAGGGUUUCAUUGUAGAAAUGGAGAGCCAUUAUCUUAGUGAUGAAGUCUACUUUUGUCCCUGGAGAAAUAGAAACACAAAUUAGCCAAUAUCAUAUGGGCUUGGGUUGCCGACCCUUGAGUGGGUGUUGACAGCAACUAGGAAAAGUAGUAGGAGGAGGCUUUCUUGGUUUUAAUAUUAUGUUCUGCCAAAGCCGUUUUGAAACUAAGUUGGAAAUUUCCUUGCAACACCAUAUGUGAUAACAAAAGUGACCUUAUGGACAAAAUAUUUCACAUGCUGCUUCAGGAACACAAAAUGCUGUUAGUAUAGCUCAGCAUAAAACACAACAGAAAGAAGAUUGUAUAUCACACUCUGCUAAGCUGCAUAAGAACAUGAAAACUCAAAGACAGUCAUCCAUUACCAGCAUACAGUACCACAGGCACCUUGGAUACAAUUCCUAAUGCUAUUCCUUACUUCAUUCUUAUUCAAUUUUAUAUGAUCUUCCAGAAAAGUAAAAAGGCAACAGAAUUGGCUCUUUUAGCAAGUGGCUAAUGUGUGGGCAAUACUAUUAACUAGAAAGCAUCCAGCAAUAUUUUUAGGAAGUUAUUCUAUGUGUGCAAGGGGCAUCUUCUUCGCUACAGCUUUAUUGAGUGACCACUGCUUGUUUUCUCCAGGAACAGUGUACUGAAGUUUGUUGUCUGGGACAGCUGGAUCAGUUUCCCUCAGCUAGCAUAUUCUCCAAGCCCUUCACAAGCCUUGCAAAUAGCAGCUACACAGCACAGAGUGAUACCUAACUGGGCAGUUGAAGGGCAGAGUCUGGGAUGUUUGUGACUGUACCAAAUGAUUUAUCUAUUAACCCUUCCUUCACAGUGGAUGACACUACACAACAUUGGAAAAGCAGCAUGAGAAAGCCUGUUGCUCUGCACCAGGGCCUGUUUGGUACUGGUUCCGUGACUGAACAGAAGUACCAGUGUCAGUGUUACAUCCAGAGGGGGAAAAAAAAAUAAAAUUUGAGUUAAUAAAGGCCACUGAUGUCAGAUUCAGCUAACUUUGGUCAAGCAAUAAACUUGGAAGUCUUUUCCCCCAAGGGCUUCCUUUUUUGUCUCUAAAACAAAGGAAAGUGAAAUGAAAACAAGAACUCCAGACUAUAUAGCAGAGCAGUAUGUGACUAUGACAGCUGUUGUUCUGAUACUGUUAUUUCUGUAGCCCAGUAUGUUCUGAUAGAAUGAAAAGUUUAACUAUGCCUGUAGAACUAUUACUUUUGGUAACUUCUCAGGGCAUUAUACACGUGUGCAAUAUUCUUUAGCCCUGUGAACCUACACAUAUGAUAGGGAGUGCGAAUUGUUUACAGUAUAGAUAGUCUAUGAAAAAAAAAAAACAUUCACUAUUUACUUACUUCUACUAGCAAAAAGGAAUAAUAGGAGUAGUUUAACUAAUUAUAUUGUUUAAAUACUCAUUCAUUGGAUGCUUAGUUACACUGAACACUUCUAAAACUGCUGCAAAUUAUUUACCAAAGAUUCCAGCUUCAGCAAAGA